GCCCUAGUAACGGCGAGUGAAGCGGCAACAGCUCAAAUUUGAAAUCUGGCCCUCGUGGUCCGAGUUGUACUUUGCAGAGGAUGCUUUUGGUGCGGUGCCUUCCGAGUUCCCUGGAACGGGACGCCAGAGAGGGUGAGAGCCCCGUACGGUUGGACACCUACCCUGUAUAUAGCUCCUUCGACGAGUCGAGUAGUUUGGGAAUGCUGCUCUAAAUGGGAGGUAAAUUUCUUCUAAAGCUAAAUACCGGCCAGAGACCGAUAGCGCACAAGUAGAGUGAUCGAAAGAUGAAAAGCACUUUGAAAAGAGGGUUAAAUAGCACGUGAAAUUGUUGAAAGGGAAGCGUUUGCGACCAGACCUUUCCCUGGCGGAUCAUCCGGUGUUCUCACCGGUGCACUUCGCCUGGUUUAGGCCAGCAUCGGUUUCUUUAGGGGGAUAAAGGCCUGGGGAACGUAGCUCUUUAGGGAGUGUUAUAGCCCUUGGUGCAAUACCCUUCGGGGGACCGAGGACCGCGCUUCGGCAAGGAUGCUGGCAUAAUGGUCGUCAACGACCCGUCUUGAAACACGGACCAAGGAGUCGAACAUUUGUGCGAGUGUUUGGGUGUCAAACCCUCACGCGUAAUGAAAGUGAACGGAGGUGAGAGCCCUCACGGGUGCAUCAUCGACCGAUCCUGAUGUCUUCGGAUGGAUUUGAGUAAGAGCAUAACUGUUCGGACCCGAAAGAUGGUGAACUAUGCGUGGAUAGGGUGAAGCCAGAGGAAACUCUGGUGGAGGCUCGCAGCGGUUCUGACGUGCAAAUCGAUCGUCAAAUCUGCGCAUGGGGGCGAAAGACUUAUCGAACCAUUGUACCAGCGGUAAAUAUCUAUUACUAGGUGGUUAAGAGGCUUCCCGCGAGGGGAGGCCUAGGUCGUUGGGAGCAGCUACCCUGUAGCUACCCUGUAGCUACCCGGUACCGAGCUACCCUGGACAAGCUUACCCUGGAGCUACCCUAUACCUACCGGUAUGGGGCUACCCUGGAGAAGCGUGCCCUGGAGCUAGCUACCCUGUACUUACCCGGUACUGAGCUACCCUAGAGGGCGGCUCCCGACCGACACCGCUAAAUUGCGGGGACAUCCUUACAGAAGGCCGCGGGCUACCGCCGGGCGCUGAAAAGCGUACGCCGGCACCAAGAAUAGUGCUCUUGGGGACGGUAAAAACGCCCGCGGUAUCGGAUAACCUGCAGCCAACCCCGUCCCAGGGGAGAGUUCACAGACUAGACAGCGGUGGGUCGGCACGGCAAGACGACUGCGUGCCGGCUUAAGAUAUAGUCGAUCCGGGCCCUGAAAAGG
rnacentral:rRNA from 1 species